AUGUUCGCGCUCAUCAGCCUGCACUGCUUCCUCUACGGGUGCAACCUGUUCAUGUGGAAGAGCACCAGGAUCAACCAGAACUUCAUAUUCGACUUCGCCCCCAACACCGCUCUCACGCACCGGGAUGCCUUCCUCAUGUCCGCCUCCAUCAUGUGCACCGUGGUUGCCGUGCUGGUCAUCAACCUCUUCCUUAGGAAUGCCGGUGCGUCCUACUCCAAUGCCGUGCCCGGGGGCCUCAUACUGUUGUCGGUGGGGCUUUUAUUCUGUCCGUUCAAUGUGUUCUACCGCUCGACGCGAUACUGUUUCAUGCGCAUAAUGCGCAACAUCAUAUUCUCGCCGUUCUACAAGGUUCUGAUAGCCGAUUUCUUCAUGGCUGAUCAGUUAACUAGCCAGUUCCCAUUGUUAAGACACGUGGAGUUUGCGGCGUGCUACUUCAUGGCAGGAAGCUUUAGGGCUAACCCAUAUGAGAUGUGUACUAACAGCAAGCAGUACAAACACCUGGCCUAUGUGAUCUCUUUUCUCCCCUACUACUGGAGAGCUAUGCAGUGUUUAAGAAGGUAA
rnacentral:rRNA from 1 species